GUGGGGAAUCUUGCGCAAUGGGCGAAAGCCUGACGCAGCCAUGCCGCGUGAAUGAUGAAGGUCUUAGGAUUGUAAAAUUCUUUCACCGGGGACGAUAAUGACGGUACCCGGAGAAGAAGCCCCGGCUAACUUCGUGCCAGCAGCCGCGGUAAUACGAAGGGGGCUAGCGUUGCUCGGAAUUACUGGGCGUAAAGGGCGCGUAGGCGGACAGCUUAGUCAGAGGUGAAAGCCUAGGGCUCAACCUUGGAAUUGCCUUUGAUACUGGCUGUCUUGAGUGUGGGAGAGGUGAGUGGAACUCCGAGUGUAGAGGUGAAAGUCGUAGAUAUUCGGAAGAACACCAGUGGCGAAGGCGACUCACUGGCCCAAUACUGACGCUGAGGCGCGAAAGCGUGGGGAGCAAACAGGAUUAGAAACCCCAGUAGUCC
rnacentral:rRNA from 1 species